rnacentral:lncRNA from 1 species
GUUUGAUUAGGGUUGGAGCUAAACUCUGCAGGACACCAGCCCUCCAGGACCGAGUUUAGCUCCUUUAAAUUUGUUUUUAGUUUUGCUCCAGUAGUUACAUAAUUGAAUUCUUCUAGAAUAUUCUUCAACACAGACCUGCAAAAACUUGAGUACAAUAUAUGUUUCAGGUUAAAAUUCUUCUGGACAUUUGCAACAGUACUAAAGGUGUCUGUCUGACCGGGCCACCAGGACCACCAGGAAUUCCAGGCUUGCCGGGUGUGGACGGAAUGCCGGGGUAUAACGGAACAGAUGGAAUUCCAGGGUUGCCAGGAGAGCCUGGAGCACAUGGAAAACGAGGAAAAAGAGGUCCUCCAGGUGAGAAGGGUGAGCCUGGUGAGAGAGGAGAGCAAGGAUAUCCUGGACCCCAAGGACCCCCUGGAGAACAGGGCGAACCUUCAAAUGAUGUCAUUGUAGAGGGUAAAGACAAAUUCUGUUU